rfam:Oryza sativa Japonica Group DNA, chromosome 11, cultivar: Nipponbare, complete sequence.
AAUAAGUACAACCAUAAGUUCUCAUGUCCAACUUUGAUCGUUCAUCUUAUUUAAAAUUUAUUUAUGAUUAGUAUUUUUGUUAUUAUUAGAUCAUAAAACAUAAAUAGUAAUUUAUGCGUGACUUAUUUUUUUAGUUCUUUUAAAAAAAUUUAAAUAAGACAGACGAUUAAAGUUGGAUACGAAAACUCAUAACUACGUUUAUU